GUCGAACGGCAGCACGGGGGGUAACCCCUGGUGGCGAGUGGCGAACGGGUGAGUAAUGUAUCGGAACGUACCCUGUAGCGGGGGAUAACGCGUCGAAAGAUGUGCUAAUACCGCAUACGCUCUACGGAGGAAAGCGGAGGACCGCAAGGCUUCGCACUACAGGAGCGGCCGAUACCGGAUUAGCUAGUUGGCGGGGUAACGGCCCACCAAGGCGACGAUCCGUAGCUGGUCUGAGAGGACGAUCAGCCACACUGGAACUGACACACGGUCCAGACUCCUACGGGAGGCAGCAGUGGGGAAUUUUGGACAAUGGGCGCAAGCCUGAUCCAGCCAUGCCGCGUGAGUGAAGAAGGCCUUCGGGUUGUAAAGCUCUUUCGGCGGGGACGAAACGGUUCGUGCUAACACCACGGACUAAUGACGGUACCCGAAGAAGAAGCACCGGCUAACUACGUGCCAGCAGCCGCGGUAAUACGUAGGGUGCAGGCGUUAAUCGGAAUUACUGGGCGUAAAGCGUGCGCAGGCGGUUUGUUAAGACAGGUGUGAAAUCCCCGGGCUUAACCUGGGAACUGCGCUUGUUACUGGCAGACUCGAGUGUGGCAGAGGGGGGUGGAAUUCCACGU
rnacentral:rRNA from 1 species